rnacentral:rRNA from 1 species
AUUGAACGCUGGCGGCAGGCUUAACACAUGCAAGUCGAACGGUAACAUGAAGAAGCUUGCUUCUUUGAUGACGAGUGGCGGACGGGUGAGUAAUGCUUGGGAAUCUAGCUUAUGGAGGGGGAUAACUACGGGAAACUGUAGCUAAUACCGCGUAGAAUCGAGAGAUGAAAGUGUGGGACCUUCGGGCCACAUGCCAUAGGAUGAGCCCAAGUGGGAUUAGGUAGUUGGUGAGGUAAAGGCUCACCAAGCCGACGAUCUCUAGCUGGUCUGAGAGGAUGACCAGCCACACUGGGACUGAGACACGGCCCAGACUCCUACGGGAGGCAGCAGUGGGGAAUAUUGCGCAAUGGGGGCAACCCUGACGCAGCCAUGCCGCGUGAAUGAAGAAGGCCUUCGGGUUGUAAAGUUCUUUCGGUAGCGAGGAAGGCAUUUAGUUUAAUAGACUAAGUGAUUGACGUAACUACAGA